rnacentral:lncRNA from 1 species
UCUCUCAUCUCUCAACCGAUUUGGGCGAUCCAAAAGGCAAAGUUGUGAGAUUUUUCGAGGACAACGUGUUGGUGAGCUCGGAUAGUGAUUUGGAGUCCCCGUUUGAGGUAAUUUUCGUAAAAAUACCUGCUGCCAGACCUCUUUUUGUGAGCUUGAUUUUGGAAAUUUUUGUAGACUUGUUUUCUUUAGCCAUUUUAGAUCCGAUUUUGGUGAUUUUUGAGGCUAUCUUAAGUGGUUUUUCAAGGAGAACAUUUUGGUGUUGUCAGAUUUUACUGUAGAUCGCCCGUUUUUGGUAAAUACGCUGAAUUUGCUGCUGUCCCAUUUCUAUUUUUUGAGAAAAUUUGGGUUUUAGUUGCAUGUUGAUAUUGUGUUGUUUCCGAGCCCCGAAUUGUGUCCCAUUUGGGGACAUGAGCUGGGGGAACUGGUUAGGACCCACUUUUGGGAUUAAUUUCGAAAUUUCCUGUGCGGGUCCCACGAUUCUCGUUUUGACUCCAAAAUUGACCAGUCUCCGUUUAUUGUGAUUUUGGUGUCUAAACGACCGUAUUAACGUUGUGACUCUAUUUUUGAUAGCGGGGCAGCGUUUUGAGGACGUUCGGAAAGGGAAAGCUCCGAAGGAGUGAUUUUGGAGCGUGUCAUCGGCCUACAGGUAGGCUAUGGUUUUCCCUCUCUUAGAUUGAGCUCGAGAAUGUGAAUGCAUGUUGAUUAGUUAGGAAUUGGGUUGGGUAGUUAUAUAAAUCCUGCGUAGGUGUUAAGAAUCAUGUUUUCGGCCUAUUUCAGGAAUUAUCGGGUAACUGUGAGCAUGAUUUGUGUUAUUAACGGACCCUCCUCGCUAUGUAGAGUGCUUGCAUGUUUAAUUACUGUUUAUUUGAAGCAUGUUGGGCCUUAGUUUAGGUUUGACUAGGGCUUGCCUUAGAAAUACAUGAUUCGGAUCCAAUAGGCCUUAGUUUUACCCCGACGUCGCUCAGUCGGCUUAGAUCCCUGUAAACUGGUGUAGCAGACUUGAGUCUGAUAGUUUGGGCCUUAGUUAGGCGAUACUCUCUCUCCGACUAUAGUUAUCCUUAUUUUCCUCGAUGUUACGGCUUCACGAGUUACAUCGGCGACACUAGUUCUACUUCGCGAUUUUAAUUUGAUUUUCGAUUUAGUUCCAAGGACUUUCAUUGAUUGGCUAUGUGUGGACGGCGUUCCACGGAUAUUUAUGAGUAUGGAUCAAUUGGGACUCUUUCAGCAGCUACAUUGGCACAUUUAUAGAGCAUCCGGUUUAAGGUCCGGCCUCUAUUGCCCAGAUACUUAUAUAGAGCAUCCGGUUAGAGUUCCGGCCUCUUAUACUUGAUACUUGUGAUUGGUUACUUGGGUACUUCUGCUGAGCAUCCGGUUCGAGGUCCGGCCUCAGUGUUGUCAGAUUCUACUAAUUAGGGUUGAGGUUCUGGUUCGAUGUUCUUCGUUCUUGGGUUCUUUUAUGCAAUUCUCUUUAGUUAUAGUUAUUCUGUGUACUCGUCGGGCUUAUGGGGGUCCGUUCGGGUUUUUAUUUAACUUGCGCACGAGUGUACCUUCUGGGCUUAUGGGGGCCCAAUUAGGUGUAGUUAGCUUAUAGAUUACUUUAGUUAGUUCUUUGUACACUCGUGUGCAUUCCAUUGUUAGUUAUAUUUAGUUCUUGACCCUCGGUUUGUAUUAUUCCUUCUUUUCAUAUUGCCUUUACUUUUCAAGUUCAGUCGGCCUAUGAUGCCUACUGGGUACCUGUGGUUUUGGUACUCAUGCUACGCUCUGCAUCUAUUUCGUGAUGCAGGUCCGGGCACUAGUAGCCAGCGUUGAUCGAGCUUGGAGCAGUUUGAUCCGGAGACGGGAGUGAGCACACGGCGUCUUGUACUAUUUCAGUCUCUAUCUGUGUAUAUAGACUUGUCUUUUACCUUUCGAGACAGUCCAGUCUCUGUUGUCCACUUUUGGGACUUGUACUCAUUUUGUUAGUAGCUCUGUACUAGUGACUUCAAGGUUCUGGGAG